rnacentral:lncRNA from 1 species
GAACAUUUCUAUCACCCCAAGAAGAAAUCCUGAUUCUAGUUCCUGGCAGCCACUAAUGUACUUCCUGUCUCUGUGGAUUUCCUGUUCUGGACACUCCCAUAUGGAUGGAGUCCUGCACUGCGAGGCUUUUCGAAUCUGGCUUUCACUUGUAUGCUCUCAGGGUUCAUCCACACUGGGGCAUGGGUCAGUACUUUGGGUUUGCUUUUAGUGUCCCUGGGUGGGUCUCCUUUGGAGCCAAGUUGCUCGAGCACCUCCCAUACAGCCUUAGUCAGGAUGCCUGAGCAAAGCCCCUGCUCUGAUAUGAACACUUACCAGGUCCAAGAGCAACCUGCUAGGCUAGGGUCAGUUUCCCAAGAGUCAAACAUUGAUAGCCUUGAGAAGCUAAGUGACUGGUUCAUAAACCUAAAGCCAUCAGCCUUUUUAUUUUUGUAUAUAUUCUUUUCUUCCUUCUCCCCUACCCUCCUUUUUUUGAGACAGGGUCUCACUACGUUGUCCAUGCUGAACUUCAACUCCUGGGCUCAAGUGAUCCUUACUGAGGGGCCUGCCCUUCCAGCAUCGAUUGUGGGGAGCUUGAAGGUGCAGAAAAACCCCUUUGGAGAUGGUUUCAGAGAAUAGGGUCUGCUUUAUUGCACAGCAAAAAUAGCUUUUAUAGUGGGUAUGUGCCAAUUAUCAUAUAACAGUCAUAAUAGGCCAGAGGUGAUACACAACAUAUCAUGUUACAGGAGUCCAGACACCAAGAGUCUAGAAACCGCCACGUAGGCUGACCUUGUGCCAACAGGGGAAUAACUUCCUGUCAAAGGAGCAAGGAAAUGGCGCAUGGUGUUCUGACAGCACUCUGUUCCAAAACUUCCUGUGUUCUAUGUUAGGGCUUCCCUGCUGCACAGUGAGCAGGGUAAGCAUUCUUCCAUGCAGGUCCAGAGUCAGGCCCUGCAACAGAUCCUCCUGCCUCAGCCUCCCAAGCAGCCGGGAUACAGGCAUGUGCCACGACAGCCGGUUUUCGGUGUAUUCUUUUUUUUUAUUUGCAGUUGGACACAGCACCUUUAUUUUAUCUAUUUAUUUAUAUGUGGUGCUGAGGAUCGAACCCAGCACCUCACACGUGCUAGGCAAGUGCUUUACCACUGAGCCCCAGCCCCAGCCCUCUGUGUUCUUUAUAGUGAACAUAUCACAUGGAGAGGAGGACAGGACAGAGCACGGUUGCUUAAAGGAAUGUCUUCUUUCAGGUGGAUGCUUUACCACCCGGACUUUAGGGUGUGGCCAUGCCUACUUAAUUUGUAGAUUCGUUUCCCAAAGACAGAUGAUGAAAAAAAGCAAAUGUUUGUCUUUGACAGCUUUCUUCUUAGUAAUUUUCCCCUGGGCUUUCUUCCAAGAUACUGAGAGAUGUAAACACCAAGAGAUGUAAACACUUUGCAGUUUCCCAGAGAGGAACCAAGAUACAGGGGAAAUUUUCAUGCCAAUGCUACAACGCUUCUGUACUUGCUCCACUCCUGGGCCACACCUUAUUUACAUGUGUUUUUUUAUUGGAUUUCCUUCGGGAGUGCUGAGAAUUGUGUGGUGGGAAAAAAACUUCCAAGAACUGGGAGAAAGUCCAGGAGUGGUGGCCAGUGACUCAGGAGGAUUGCAAGUUCAAAGGCAGCUUCAAGAACAUAGCAAGAGACCCUGUUUCAAAAACCACAGGGCUGGGGAUGUGGCUUCAAGUGCCCUGAGGUUCCAUACUCAGUACCAAUACAAAACAGGGAGAACAAUGAUAACAAUUCUCUGCAAUUACAGUACUGCAGCCUUAUUCCCUUUUAGGUCCACUUCCCCCAAAUCCCCAUAAAAUUGAGUUUAUUAAGGUGCAAACCUCCCCUCUUUGUUUAGAAGCCAGGGCCUGUAGGCUCACUCUUGCAGUGGAGUUGCAUUAACUGCAGGGCGAAGGGAAACUCCCAAGUUUUCAACUGGACAUGAACACGACCAACUUCAUUCUAACUGGAAACCAACCAGCAAAC